CACAAGUGCUCUCGUUACUGCCAGACUCCGGGGAAGACUCACGUGUGCUGUGAUCCCCCGCCUCCCCCCCGCUGCCCCAACCCCGCUCCGUGCUACGACUUCUUCGAGUUCAUCUACUGCUACCACGAUGACCAGUGUCCACCGGGCAAGAAAUGCUGCACAGACGGCUGUUCCCAAAGGAAAAUAUGUGUGCCCGUCUGAGUCAUGCCCCAGCGUGUGCAUGGCGCAUGACACGAACUCUGAACCGACUGUUGAAGAACUGCGUGCAUGACCGUUUACUCUUUCU